rnacentral:lncRNA from 1 species
GGAGACCAAGGUUCGGUGAAGGAAGGAGCACACUCCUGACCCUUGACUUCCCUGGCUCCACUGCAGGCUACCAUCCUUCUAAAUCUUCAGUUUGCUGAAGCAGAGGACGCGUCAUGACAGGACGUGGCCAAGGUUCCCAGCCCACCUGCCACCUGAACCCAGCGCAGAGAGUGGAUGGAUGGAUGUGGACCUGGAAACCCCUACACUGGACAGCUUCUCUAAGACCUUGAGGGAGGGGACCCCCUAGCUCCAGGCUGAUGCAGCAGAUGUCUCAGUCCCUGUGUCCCUGGCACUGCUUUCUGCUUAUUAAAUGCCCGAAACCAGGGUUGGCUGGAAGCCGUCUCAGCAGGGGGAGCGCUCAGCCUUGGGCCCCACUGUCCAGCCCUAGAGUCUUCACUGGCAAAAUGGGUGCAGCCCUAACAGUUCUAACCUCCCGGGGCUGGGAGAAGAGCAGGUGCGUGUGGUCCUGUGACGUGAAAGUCUGAACUCUGUCAUGGGGUGUGGUGUCCCUGGGGCCUGGCUGGGAGCUUGGAGCCCAUCUCACACCCAGCCCCCAACCCCCAGCAGCGCGGUUUUCCACUU